rnacentral:rRNA from 1 species
AUGGGGACCGAUCCCGCCCGCCGCCGCCGCCCCCGCCCCGACCUCGAGGAGGGCGAGUUCGUCGCGGACGACGACGACGGCGGCCGCCCGGAGAUCAAGGUGCGCCGCCUCCAGGACAUCCUCGACGGGGACGCCCUGCCGUCGCCCACGCCCGAGCGCGAGCGCGACUCGGACGGCACCGUCAGCGACAUGGACGCCGACGACGACGAGGGCCCCGCGCGGGAGCCGGGCUUUCCCUGCCCCAUCUGCCGGAGGGAGUUCGCGAGCGGCCGGGCGGUGCACGGCCACAUGCGCGUCCACCAUCCGCACGGCGGCGGCCGCCAGGGAAUCCUCGUCGGCGGUGGAUGGGCCGUCACCGGCAAGCGGGGCUACGUCGGCGGCAGGUCCGUCUCCGCUCCCCCCCAGGACGAGGAGGAGGAGGAAGGAGUGGGCGACUCCACGUCCAUGACUACCGCGGUCGCGGAGCCCGUGAUCGACGCCGCGCCCAUCGCGUUCGCGAGCAGGACCAGCAGCGCCGAUCCGAAUCCUCCAUCCACGGCCAUCGUUCUUGCAGCGGACAAUCGUCCCAACCAGGUCGCCGUGCGCCCAUCCUGUUCACCGCAAUGCGGCGCCGGGCACCAGCCCGCCGCGCCUCAGGCCGUCGUCGCCCAACCUCAGCCAGCCGUCGCCCAAGGCCACCUCGCAGCGGCGUCGCCUACUACGCAAUUCUUCGCCUCGCCCCCUCAGGCCGUCGCGCGUCACGUUCGGCGCGCGGCGCCGUCGCCGACGUCACGGGACGAGCAAGGCCGGUGGGUCUGCAAAGAGGAAGGGUGCUACCAGCGGUUCGACUCGCACCAGGGGCUCGGCGGCCACAUGGCCGCCCACAAGAUGAGGAAGAACAACGAGGCCGCGGCGGCGGCAGCGGCCGCGGGGCUGAACCCGUGCCUGGCGAGCGCCAGGCCGGCGAAGCUGCACCCGUGCAAGCACUGCCCCAAGGUGUUCAACUCGGGCGUGCAGCUCGGCGGGCACAUGAGGAUGCACUACGAGGGCAAGGUGAUCGCAAGGAGGCGCCGCGUCAGCGCUCCCCUGUCGGCGCGGGAGCUCGCGGCAGCGCUCUUCUCCGCCCAGGCGUCCCCCGAGACGUCGACCAGCGCGUCCCCGCCCGACGGGCUCGCGCUGUCCCUGUCCCCGCCCGCGGACGGGCCCGACGAGCUCGCGCUGUCCCUGUCCCUGUCCCCGCCCGGGGACGCGCCCGAUGAGCUCGCGCUGUCCCUGUCGCUGUCCCCGCCCGCGCCCGCCGCCACGGAAGUAGCGCGGCCUGGCAUCAUCUCGCCGGCAUUGUCGGGAGGAUCCGAGCCGGCGCCAGCGCCGGUCUCGCCGGGCGUCUUGAGGAUUUUCGGCGUCAACAUCGCGGUGGCGGCUCCCGCGGCGGCCGGGCAGGAAGCUUCCUCCGGCGUGAGCGAGACGGACCAGAGCUCGGCGGCGUCUACCAACAUCCAGGAGUAG